GCUUAACACAUGCAAGUCGAACGAGACCUUCGGGUCUAGUGGCGCACGGGUGCGUAACGCGUGGGAAUCUGCCCUCUGGUACGGAAUAACUCAGGGAAACUUGAGCUAAUACCGUAUAAUGACUUCGGUCCAAAGAUUUAUCGCCUGAGGAUGAGCCCGCGUAGGAUUAGCUUGUUGGUGAGGUAAAAGCUCACCAAGGCGACGAUCCUUAGCUGGUCUGAGAGGAUGAUCAGCCACACUGGGACUGAGACACGGCCCAGACUCCUACGGGAGGCAGCAGUGGGGAAUAUUGGACAAUGGGCGAAAGCCUGAUCCAGCAAUGCCGCGUGAGUGAUGAAGGCCUUAGGGUUGUAAAGCUCUUUUACCCGGGAUGAUAAUGACAGUACCGGGAGAAUAAGCCCCGGCUAACUCCGUGCCAGCAGCCGCGGUAAUAC
rnacentral:rRNA from 1 species